UACGUAGGGAGCAAGCGUUGUCCGGAAUCAUUGGGCGUAAAGCGCGCGUAGGCGGCCCUGUAAGUCCGUUGUGAAAGUCAAAGGCUCAACCUUUGAAAGCCGAUGGAUACUGCAGGGCUAGAGUCCGGAAGAGGCGAGUGGAAUUCCUGGUGUAGCGGUGGAAUGCGCAGAUAUCAGGAGGAACACCGGUGGCGAAGGCGGGUCUCUGGGCAGGAACUGACGCUGAGGAGCGAAAGCGUAGGGAGCGAACAGG
rnacentral:rRNA from 1 species